rnacentral:rRNA from 1 species
CCAGACUCCUACGGGAGGCAGCAGUGGGGAAUAUUGCACAAUGGGGGAAACCCUGAUGCAGCGACGCCGCGUGAGUGAAGAAGUAUCUCGGUACGUAAAGCUCUAUCAGCAGGGAAGAAAAUGACGGUACCUGACUAAGAAGCCCCGGCUAACUACGUGCCAGCAGCUGCGGUAAUACGUAGGGGGCAAGCGUUAUCCGGAUUUACUGGGUGUAAAGGGAGCGUAGACGGCAGCACAAGUCUGGAGUGAAAUCCCGGGGCUUAACCCCGGAACUGCUUUGGAAACUGUGCGGCUGGAGUGCAGGAGGGGUAAGCGGAAUUCCUAGUGUAGCGGUGAAAUGCGUAGAUAUUAGGAGGAACACCAGUGGCGAAGGCGGCCUGCUGGACGACAACUGACGGUGAGGCGCGAAAGCGUGGGGAGCAAACAGGAUUAGAUACCCGAGUA